GGAAGAAAAAUCCACCUUCCUUCUAUACCGACCACCUCUGACAUCAAGAAUCUAAAUCCACCUUCAGCCUCCACCUUCUCGCACCACCCUUAAGAUCGAACCUCUUCCUGAAUCGUCUCCAUGGUAACAUCCUCUCUUCAGCUACAGUCUCCAUCAUCUUCCAUCUACCUUUGCACAUGAAGCUUCAACUUUAGCCUCCACCUUCUGGCAUCAACCUCCUGGGUCAUGGUCGGGGAUUGGAACUUAUCCCAGCAGCUACC